rnacentral:rRNA from 1 species
UGGGGAAUAUUGCACAAUGGGCGCAAGCCUGAUGCAGCGACGCCGCGUGAGUGAUGAAGGCCUUAGGGUUGUAAAGCUCUUUUACCCGGGAUGAUAAUGACAGUACCGGGAGAAUAAGCCCCGGCUAACUCCGUGCCAGCAGCCGCGGUAAUACGGAGGGGGCUAGCGUUGUUCGGAAUUACUGGGCGUAAAGCGCACGUAGGCGGCUUUGUAAGUUAGAGGUGAAAGCCCGGGGCUCAACCCCGGAAUUGCCUUUGAAACUGGAAAACUUGAAUCUUGGAGAGGUCAGUGGAAUUCCGAGUGUAGAGGUGAAAUUCGUAGAUAUUCGGAAGAACACCAGUGGCGAAGGCGACUGACUGGACAAGUAUUGACGCUGAGGUGCGAAAGCGUGGGGAGCAAAC